UAGAUGUGCAAGCUGAGGUUUCCCUCUUCU
rnacentral:piRNA from 1 species